UGAAGUCGGAGUUGCUAGUAAUCGCGGAUCAGCAUGCCGCGGUGAAUACGUUCCCGGGCCUUGUACACACCGCCCGUCACACCAUGGGAGUUGGGAGCACCCGAAGCCGGUGAGGUAACCGAAAGGAGCCAGCCGUCGAAGGUGAGACCAAUGACUGGGGUGAAGUCGUAACAAGGUAAC
rnacentral:rRNA from 1 species